rnacentral:ncRNA from 7 species
ACCACAGGGUAGAACCACGGA